UCCUUGACGACGCCGCUUCUGAGAGCGCAUUUAUUGUCACAUGUGGCGUUCUGUCUCACGCCAUCUUCAAACACGAGAACACAUACGAGCUGUUUGACUCGCAUGGCUUCAUAACAAAGUACAAUGGUCGGUAUAUUAAACCGAAGGGCUCAAUUUUCAGGUUCUCUUCUGUAGACGAACUUAACAAGUUUGUACUCGCCUUACACGGCAAAGAAGCCUAUAUUCAGGUGGCGGCAGUGACGGUGAGACCGCCAGAAGUUGAGAGGCUCACCAAGGUGUUCCACGAGUACAGAUAUGAGCCAUACAUAGACAACACCAUUCUGCCGCCGGGACAAUAUAUUCCUGCCAUCCUUGAUGACUCCUCCUCCACGGCAUGUGAAGAUAGUGCCUACAUCACCAUGCUUGGUUGCAGAGAUUAAAGAAGACUGAAGAUAUAUGUACAUAGAUGAAAACAUUUACCAAUUUAGCGACACUGAUAUAAAGACAGUUAAUACAUCGCUAUGCUUGAUUUGAGAGUUUGAAAGCUUCUACUUGGAUACAUAUACAUUAGUGAAAAAAUAAUACACACAUAUGAGAAAUUGAUAUUGUAACAAGGA